AAAAGCCAUAAAAUUCAGCUUCUGCUAGCCAUGCUUUCCCUUUUUGCUCUCCAUACACCUCAGCUGGGAGUCUUUAUUUGUGUAGUAUUUAUGUGGUUUGUGUUAUUCUGGUCUUUAUAAAGUUAUCUAGGAAGCUAAGAGAGCUGACCAACAGAGAAGGGAAAGUAGUCUGUUCCGAAUGACAAAAGGAGUUCAAGUCACACCGAACAUCUUUCUCCCAUUUAGAAGCAUCCUACUAUUUAAGACCUAGUAUUUGGAGUUCCCGUCGUGGCGCAGUGGUUAACGAAUCCGACUAGGAACCAUGAGGUUGCGGGUUC
rnacentral:lncRNA from 1 species